rnacentral:tRNA from 1 species
GGAUGACUAGCUCAGUUGGUUAGAGCGCUUCGUUCACAUCGAAGAGGUCGACGGUUCGAGUCCGCCGUCAUCCACCA